rnacentral:rRNA from 1 species
AUUGAAGCUUGCUUUGAACUGUUUUAGUGGCGGACGGGUGAGUAACGCGUGAGGAACCUGCCUUUCAGAGGGGGAUAACGUCUGGAAACGGACGCUAAUACCGCAUGACAUUUUGUUGCCGCAUGGUGAUAAAAUCAAAGGAGCAAUCCGCUGAGAGAUGGACUCGCGUCCGAUUAGCCGGUUGGCGGGGUAACGGCCCACCAAAGCAACGAUCGGUAGCCGGGCUGAGAGGCUGAACGGCCACAUUGGGACUGAGACACGGCCCAGACUCCUACGGGAGGCAGCAGUGGGGGAUAUUGCACAAUGGAGGAAACUCUGAUGCAGCAACGCCGCGUGAGGGAAGAAGGUUUUCGGAUUGUAAACCUCUGUCCUCAGGGACGAUAAUGACGGUACCUGAGGAGGAAGCUCCGGCUAACUACGUGCCAGCAGCCGCGGUAAUACGUAGGGAGCAAGCGUUGUCCGGAUUUACUGGGUGUAAAGGGUGCGUAGGCGGCACUGCAAGUCAGGUGUGAAAACCAUGGGCUUAACUUAUGGAUUGCACUUGAAACUGUGGUGCUUGAGUGAAGUAGAGGCAGGCGGAAUUCCCGGUGUAGCGGUGAAAUGCGUAGAGAUCGGGAGGAACACCAGUGGCGAAGGCGGCCUGCUGGGCUUUAACUGACGCUGA